rnacentral:rRNA from 1 species
UACGUAGGGGCAAGCGUUGUCCGGAUUUACUGGGAGUAAAGAGCGUGUAGGCGGCCACGCAGGUCCGUUGUGAAAACUGGAGGCUCAACCUCCAGCUGUCGACGGAAACCGUGUGGCUAGAGUCCGGAAGAGGCGAGUGGAAUUCCUGGUGUAGCGGUGAAAUGCGCAGAUAUCAGGAGGAACACCAAUUGCGAAGGCAGCUCGCUGGGACGUUACUGACGCUGAUGCGCGAAAGCGUGGGGAGCAAACGGG